rnacentral:lncRNA from 1 species
GACUUACUCAAUUUAAACAUGAUAACUGUGUUUUGUCGGCUGAAGCAAAUGUGGGUUUUUUUCGGUGCUAGAAGAAGGACUUUUGUCUUGCAGUCGACCAUCUUACUAUACAGAUACAAAAGUAUACGCAUUUAUUUAUAAAUAUCCUUUAUCCUGUUUCUAUUUGAAGCUAACGAAUACAUUGAAAUCAUUGUUUAUGUUGCAGUUUACUUUGCCGUCCCCGUUCAAAUAUGAUUUUAAUAAAAAGUAAAGUCGGUAAAAUAAAGGUACGUCAUGUUUCCAUGCGUA